AUAAGAAAGUAAAAAAGGGCGCAUGGGGAAUGCCUGGGCUCUCAGAGGCGAAGAAGGACGUGAUAAGCUGCGAAAAGUCAUGGGUAGGUGCAAAUAACCAUUGAUCCGUGAAUAUCCGAAUGGGGCAACCCGGUCAUUAGCAAUAGUGAUCAUCCUAUUUAAUAGGAAGCAAACCCGCUGAACUGAAACAUCUAAGUAGGCGGAGGAAAAGAAAACAAAAGUGAUUCCCUUAGUAGCGGCGAGCGAACUGGGAACAGCCUAAACCAAUAUUGUUUCGGCAAUAUUGGGGUUGUAGGACCGACAUAACGAUUAUUAAUACGAAGUGGAAGCAUCUGGAAAGUUGCAUCAGAGAGGGUGACAAUCCCGUACACGCAAGUAUGAUAAUCUGGUUGGUAUCCUGAGUAGCGCGGAACACGAGAAAUUCUGUGUGAAUCAGCCGGGACCAUCCGGUAAGGCUAAAUACUCCUGAGAGACCGAUAGUGAACCAGUACCGUGAGGGAAAGGUGAAAAGCACCCCGAACAGGGGAGUGAAAUAGUACCUGAAACCGUGCGCCUACAAGCGGUCGGAGUCUAUAUUUAUAUGGAUGACGGCGUGCCUUUUGCAUAAUGAGCCUACGAGUUAUUCCUUACCAGCGAGGUUAAGUGCGUUACAAGCACGGAGCCGAAGCGAAAGCGAGUCUUAACAGGGCGCUUAAGUUGGUAGGGAUAGACGCGAAACCUUGUGAUCUACCCAUGGUCAGGUUGAAGCUGUGGUAACACACCGUGGAGGACCGAACCAGUAAACGUUGAAAAGUUUUUGGAUGAACUGUGGGUAGGGGUGAAAGGCUAAUCAAACUGGGAAAUAGCUCGUACUCCCCGAAAUGCAUUUAGGUGCAGCCUUAUAAUAGUUUUGCAGAGGUAGAGCUACUGAUAGGACGCGAGGGCUUCAUCGCCUAUCAACUCCUGACAAACUCCGAAUGCUGCAAAAUGUUUUAUAGGAGUGAGGGCAUGGGUGCUAAGGUCCAUGUCCGAAAGGGAAAGAACCCGGACCAUCAGCUAAGGUCCCCAAGUAUAUGCUAAGUUGAAGAAAACGCGGUAUGGCUGCAGAGACAGCUAGGAUGUUGGCUUGGAAGCAGCCACUCAUUUAAAGAGUGCGUAACAGCUCACUAGUCGAGCGGCCGUGCAUGGAUAAUAAUCGGGCAUAAGCAUAUCACCGAAGCUAUGGAUUUGUACGUAAGUACAAGUGGUAGGGGAGCAUUCCAAACCGCGCAGAAGCCGUAUCGUGAGGUAUGGUGGAGUGUUUGGAAAAGCAAAUGUAGGCAUAAGUAACGAUAAAACGGGUGAGAAACCCGUUCGCCGAAAGACCAAGGUUUCCUGAUCAACGCUAAUCGGAUCAGGGUUAGUCGGGACCUAACGCGAACCCGAAGGGGGUAGUGGAUGGAAAGCAGGUUAAUAUUCCUGCACCUGUCAUACAAUAAAAGUGACGUGGGAUCGAGGUGCCUGGGGGCUGACGGAAUAGCCCGCUGAGCUUAGGCUACGGCCGAAGCGAAGGUAAGCAGAUUCUACCGAGAAAAGCGAGUAUGGCAGCUCGUACCGUAAACGGACACACGUAGUUGGGUUGAGUAUACUAAGGCGCUCGAGUGAUUCAUGGCUAAGGAACUAGGCAAAUUAACCCUGUAACUUCGGGAUAAAGGGUCCCUGCUCUUAAUUGAGUAGGGCGCAGAGAAAUGGCCCAGGCGACUGUUUAUCAAAAACACAUGGCUUUGCUAAAUCGAAAGAUGAUGUAUAAGGCCUGACACCUGCCCGGUGCUGGAAGGUUAAGAGGAGAUGUUAUCUUCGGAGAAGCAUUGAAUUGAAGCCCCAGUAAACGGCGGCCGUAACUAUAACGGUCCUAAGGUAGCGAAAUUCCUUGUCGGGUAAGUUCCGACCUGCACGAAUGGUGUAACGAUCUGGGCACUGUCUCAGCCAUGAGCUCGGUGAAAUUGUAGUAGCGGUGAAGAUGCCGCUUACCCGCAACGGGACGGAAAGACCCCGUGAACCUUUACUGCAACUUAGCAUUGAUUUUGGGUAAGUAAUGUGUAGGAUAGGACGGAGACUACGAAGCGGGUUCGCCAGGACUUGUGGAGUCAUCCUUGAAAUACGUCCCUUUGCUUGCCUGGAGUCUAAUUCCGCAAUGCGGAAGACAUUGCUUGGUGGGUAGUUUGACUGGGGUGGUCGCCUCCAAAAGCGUAACGGAGGCUCCCAAAGGUACCCUCAUGACGAUUGGUAACCGUCAGCAGAGUGUAAUGGUAUAAGGGUGCUUGACUGUGAGACCUACAAGUCGAUCAGGUUGGAAACAAGGGCAUAGUGAUCCGGUGGUUCCGUAUGGAAGGGCCAUCGCUCAAAGGAUAAAAGGUACUCCGGGGAUAACAGGCUGAUCGCCGCCAAGAGCUCAUAUCGACGCGGCGGUUUGGCACCUCGAUGUCGGCUCGUCACAUCCUGGGGCUGGAGAAGGUCCCAAGGGUUGGGCUGUUCGCCCAUUAAAGUGGCACGCGAGCUGGGUUCAGAACGUCGUGAGACAGUUCGGUCCCUAUCUGUUGUGGGCGUAGGAGAUUUGCGAGACCCUGUCAUUAGUACGAGAGGACCGUGAUGGACAAACCACUGGUGUAUCAGUUGUUCCGCCAGGAGCAUAGCUGAGUAGCUACGUUUGGAAGAGAUAAGUGCUGAAAGCAUCUAAGCACGAAGCUCGUCUCAAGAUGAGAUCUCCAUAUAGGGACGUUGGAGACUACAACGUUGAUAGGCUGCAGGUGUAAAGAUGGUGACAUCAAAGCCGAGCAGUACUAAUUACCCGAAGCUUUCUGA
rnacentral:rRNA from 1 species